UGGGGAAUAUUGCACAAUGGGGGGAACCCUGAUGCAGCAACGCCGCGUGAGUGAAGAAGUAUUUCGGUAUGUAAAGCUCUAUCAGCAGGGAAGAUAAUGACGGUACCUGACUAAGAAGCUCCGGCUAAAUACGUGCCAGCAGCCGCGGUAAUACGUAUGGAGCAAGCGUUAUCCGGAUUUACUGGGUGUAAAGGGUGCGUAGGCGGCAGAGCAAGUCAGAUGUGAAAGACCGGGGCUCAACCCCGGGGCUGCAUUUGAAACUGUUUUGCUGGAGUCCGGGAGAGGCAGGCGGAAUUCCUAGUGUAGCGGUGAAAUGCGUAGAUAUUAGGAGGAACACCAGUGGCGAAGGCGGCCUGCUGGACCGGAACUGACGCUGAGGCACGAAAGCGUGGGGAGCAAACA
rnacentral:rRNA from 1 species